rnacentral:rRNA from 1 species
GUGAGGAACCUGCCUCAAAGAGGGGGACAACAGUUGGAAACGACUGCUAAUACCGCAUAAGCCCACGACUCGGCAUCGGGUAGAGGGAAAAGGAGCAAUCCGCUUUGAGAUGGCCUCGCGUCCGAUUAGCUAGUUGGUGAGGUAAUGGCCCACCAAGGCGACGAUCGGUAGCCGGACUGAGAGGUUGAACGGCCACAUUGGGACUGAGACACGGCCCAGACUCCUACGGGAGGCAGCAGUGGGGAAUAUUGCACAAUGGGGGAAACCCUGAUGCAGCGACGCCGCGUGGAGGAAGAAGGUCUUCGGAUUGUAAACUCCUGUUGUUGAGGAAGAUAAUGACGGUACUCAACAAGGAAGUGACGGCUAACUACGUGCCAGCAGCCGCGGUAAAACGUAGGUCACAAGCGUUGUCCGGAAUUACUGGGUGUAAAGGGAGCGCAGGCGGGAAGACAAGUUGGAAGUGAAAUCCAUGGGCUCAACCCAUGAACUGCUUUCAAAACUGUUUUUCUUGAGUAGUGCAGAGGUAGGCGGAAUUCCCGGUGUAGCGGUGGAAUGCGUAGAUAUCGGGAGGAACACCAGUGGCGAAGGCGGCCUACUGGGCACCAACUGACGCUGAGGCUCGAAAGUGUGGGUAGCAAACAGGAUUAGAUACCCUGGUAGUCCACACUGUAAACGAUGAUUACUAGGUGUUGGAGGAUUGACCCCUUCAGUGCCGCAGUUAACACAAUAAGUAAUCCACCUGGGGAGUACGACCGCAAGGUUGAAACUCAAAGGAAUUGA